GGGGAAUAUUGCACAAUGGGCGCAAGCCUGAUGCAGCCAUGCCGCGUGUGUGAAGAAGGCCUUCGGGUUGUAAAGCACUUUCAGCGGGGAGGAAGGCGAUAAGGUUAAUAACCUUGUCGAUUGACGUUACCCGCAGAAGAAGCACCGGCUAACUACGUGCCAGCAGCCGCGGUAAUACGUAGGGGGCGAGCGUUGUCCGGAAUUAUUGGGCGUAAAGCGCACGCAGGCGGUCUGUCAAGUCGGAUGUGAAAUCCCCGGGCUCAACCUGGGAACUGCAUUCGAAACUGGCAGGCUAGAGUCUUGUAGAGGGGGGUAGAAUUCCAGGUGUAGCGGUGAAAUGCGUAGAGAUCUGGAGGAAUACCGGUGGCGAAGGCGGCCCCCUGGACAAAGACUGACGCUCAGGUGCGAAAGCGUGGGGAGCAAAC
rnacentral:rRNA from 1 species